AAGCACCUUCUUCAGUGUAUUCACAGUGUUUUGCUUGAUGCUGUAUUUUGUUGGGACUCUAAAGCUAUGGAUCUUUUCAAACAAAGAUUCACACACAUGGUUUUACAUUCAGUUUCAGUUUCGGGGCCUUCACAGAAGCAGCCCCCUGGCCCGAACAAAAGCCCCAAUUUAAGGGUCUUAGUUAUGGAAGAUAGAAGGAAAUGUAGGAUCUGUAAAGUGCAAUUACAAGGCAAUCAGUUAGCUAAAGAAUGCUAAAGGGUGUUGGGUCAGUGUGGACUUCAUGAGAAAAGAGGAAUUUCAAGUAUGUCGAGAGAAGGCAAUUCUCACAGAGGGUACAGCGACCUAGACUGAGACCCAUAGAGAUCCUAAGAAUGUCCCCAGCUCUCUACAUCUGGCUGACCAUUGACUUCACUAUCUUAUCACCUCCUAAUAGUAAUGAGGACCUGGAAAGCAACUUACAAAUGCCAGUGCCCCGAAAACAGUUAAUCCAAGUGUUGAAGAGAUCCAUAGCCACAUACCCCUAAGAAACUGAUUUGGAGAAAUCUCAGAAAGAAGUGUCCUUUAACUGUUCACCUCAACAUUUUCCAAAUGUAUUUCACUGUGAGAACCUUCGUGUGCCCACAAAGUAUCUCAUGAGAACAUUUUGGGAAAAGCACUUGAGGACCAUGAAGGGUUUGGAGCAGUGGCACCACAUUGAAUUACGAUGUGUGAUGUAAGAAGAUUAAUGGAACAGCUGUGUGUGGAAAUGGAGUAGCUAACAGAAAGGAGGAAAUGACCUUUGGCUCUAGAAGGAAGACUCAUUUUCUUGAUAAAAUGGCAGCAGUGAAAACUCCCAGCUUAGAACUAAAGAAUGUGGAAGAACCCUUCAAUAACGAAACGCCCCUCCUUUUGAAGAGCCUAGUGGAGGAGCCCAAGAAAAGAGAAGUGCCUAAUCACCUCCUUGAAUCAAAGAUUUAUGCCAAGCUUCUGAAUAAUAAGGCAAUACAGGCAAGACCUGGCAUAGUGCAUUUUGGAGGUUAUCAAAUAGAAAAACAGCACCAACAAAUUCUGCACCUGGUCAAUGUUUCUUAUGAAGACACACAUGUUCAUAUUUUACCCCCACAAACCAAAUACUUCCAGAUCAGCUAUGUGAAGAAGGAAAACCGCCUCAUCCCUGGCUUGUCCCUCACAGUCACCAUUACAUUUUAUCCAGAUGAGUGGCGAUACUAUUAUGACUGCAUCCGUGUUCACUGUAAGGGAGACAAUACCUUGCUUGUUCCUAUCCAUGCCUAUCCCGUCAUGAACACCCUGGACUUUCCCACAUUCAUAAAUCUAUCCAAUGUUCUCCUUGGUGAGAGCAAAACUUACAUUAUUCCUUUGCAGUGCACCUGCCCUGUGGAUUUUGAGUUCCAAGUCACUUUGAUCCAGUCUCACCAAGCCUUUGUUAUUGAGCCAACAUCAGGAAUAAUUCCAGCUAAUGGGAGGAUGGAUGUGACUAUAAAGUUCACACCCUUUCAGUAUGGCACUGCACAAAUAAAAAUGCAGUUAUGGAUUUCACAGUUCAACUCUCAGCCGUACGAAUGCGUCUUCACCGGAACGUGCUAUCCCAACCUGGCCUUACCAUUAAAAGAAUUUGAAAGAUUAAAUACUCUUUCUAAGAAAGUAAAUGUUCCUCCAGAAAAAGCAAUGAGACAUAUAAGUUUUCACCGACUACCAGCAAAGAGAGCACCUCCGAAAAUGAAGGAAAUUGAGUACCAGAAUCUGAGAUUUCCAGUAGAUUUAUCAAAUCCAUUUGCUGUGGCAACUGUUUUAAACCAAGAACCAGGAAAAUUGAGGAUUAAAGAAUUAAGAGAAGUUUUGGACCAAGGCACUGGGAUUUCAAAAACAAGACAGAUGAAGGAGGCACUCUUUGAACAGAAAGUCAGACAAGACACUUAUGAAGAGAUGGAAAAUCACCGUAAAUGGCAGGUGCACCUUGGUAAAGAUCCUAUGUCUUUUAAAUUGAGAAAGGAGCUUACUGAGGAGCAGCAAAGAAUAUACACCAACUACAAGGUCAGAAUGACUGCUAAUUUGAUAACAUUUGUUUCACUAAAUAUUUUGAAUUCCUUUUGUAUGCAAGACGCCAAAUCAGGAGAAAGAAAACAUAUAAUUACAUUGGGAGGGGAGGAGGCUGGUGACAAGUAAAUUGUUAACUAUAGACCAACAUUGUUACAAGUAUACUGUGCAUUGUGGGUUAUUCAGAAGCCAGAGAGAAGAGGGAACUCAUCUAAUUGGAAAGCUUCUUGGAAGAUAUGGUACAAUUUUGAAAAUUAGGAAGAGGACAAAGUCAUGCAUGUGGAGAGAAUGGCUCAGAUUUUGGCUGUAACUCUGGCUGUGAGGCACAUCUGUCCCAUGUUCUGCAGAGCACAGAAACCAGGGAGGCCCAAAGACAGUAUCUGGGAGCCACACCAGAGUCAGUCCCAAGUCAAAGACAUUCAAAGAGGCUGAGCAGAGAGGGCCAGCUGGCCUGAGGGAAGUAGGGCCACAUCAGGGACACCAGGACUGCGUCUGAGCUUGGGGACAGAAGAUGUGGGACUGCACAAUACCUGUGGCCUUACCAUGGAUCACAGUGUCGAAAUGGUUAGUACAGCAGAGCAGGUGCAGAGAACCCUGGAAACAAGUCCAUUGGGGCUGAAGCACAGGGAAUAUAUGGCUGAAAAGAGAUAGGACUCGGCCUGGACACCAAAUAUGAGGGGCUUGGACUUAAUGGAUAGGACUCACAGAAUCAUCACAGACGGUAUUAGCCUGCUCAGGCUGCAGUAAGAAUGUUCUAACAGACUGGGUGCUUAGACAACAGAGCUGCUUUAGGGUUCAAGUGUCAGCAGGGCAGGUUUCUUCUCAGUCCUGUCUGUUGGCUCACAGAUGGCCAUCGUCUCCAUGUGUCUGUGUCCUAAGUGCCUCUUCUUUCAUGGACACCAGUCAUAAGACCUCAUUUUAUCCUGACCACCUCUUUAAAGAGCCCACUUCCAAAUACCGUCACAUGCCAAGGUCCUAGCAAUUAGUACAUCAACAUAUGAGUUGUGGGGAA
rnacentral:lncRNA from 1 species